GUGAGUUUGUAGGGUUGGAGAGAGAAAUUGUUCAUCUGUCAAAACAAUAGUGAUGUUUUCUCCAGAUCUCUAGCCUAACAAACUCCCGU
rnacentral:precursor_RNA from 1 species